GCGCCGCAGAUCCAAAGGCUCGCUGCGCCGUCACUCCGGUACGGUCGUCUUGUUUCCAUCGCUCCCACCGUACUCGGUCGCAAGUCGUUAGCCGAAACCAGGGGAAAAGGCCGGCGUCACGUCCGAGCCCUACGUGCAUCUCGGAGCUCUCUAUAAAUUCUCCCCCAUCCCUCCCCCUUCCGCCAUUCCAAAGCCGCUGCCCAUCGACGGCGAGCCAAUGGCGUCGUCGCCCGGCGGUGGGUGGGGCGUCUCAUCUCUUUCCAGCCCCGCACUCCUCAUCAGGUACUCACCGCUGCCCGCACUCGCUUUCUUUCCUCUUUCCUCCACUUUCUCAUUGAUCGUUUCGCUUCUUACCCCAAUGCCUUUUCUUUCGAUUCUUGGAAUGAGAGGUACGGCGGAGAGAUCGACGUGGCGGGAGAUGGCGAGAGAGCAAGAACCGGAAAGCAUCCAAAACCCUUCUCUGGUCCACUCCGACUAGAGUGAUGGUGUGGAUUACUUUUUAAACAGAUUAUCAUCUAAUUCCAUUUCUUGCAUAUGAUGAAUGAAUCUAUCCUGGAUGGUAAAUCUUUGGUGCAUGACGAAUCGUUUAGAUAAUUGCAUCUUACCAAUUUUGGCAGUUACUGGUGUGCCUUCUUCUAGAAGAACUCUUUCUUUUUGCCACUAUUGAUUCACUGCCAGACCUGAUGUCGGUGUAUUUCAAAAGAAAUGCAUAUUUUACUAAAGUAACAUACUAUUACUAAAAGCAAUCCAAACUUAGUAUUCCAAUA